GACGAACGCUGGCGGCGUGCUUAACACAUGCAAGUCGAACGGAAAGGCCCUGCUUUUGUGGGGUGCUCGAGUGGCGAACGGGUGAGUAACACGUGAGUAACCUGCCCUUGACUUUGGGAUAACUUCAGGAAACUGGGGCUAAUACCGGCUAGGAGCUCCUGCUGCAUGGUGGGGGUUGGAAAGUUUCGGCGGUUGGGGAUGGACUCGCGGCUUAUCAACUUGUUGGUGGGGUAGUGGCUUACCAAGGCUUUGACGGGUAGCCGGCCUGAGAGGGUGACCGGCCACAUUGGGUCUGAGAUACGGCCCAGACUCCUACGGGAGGCAGCAGUGGGGAAUAUUGCACAAUGGGCGGAAGCCUGAUGCAGCAACGCCGCGUGCGGGAUGACGGCCUUCGGGCUGUAAACCGCUUUCGCCUGUGACGAAGCGUGAGUGACGGUAAUGGGUAAAGAAGUACCGGCUAACUACGUG
rnacentral:rRNA from 1 species